AAAUCUUUCUUGUCAACAAAAUCGGGCGCAUUUCCCUCUUCAAAUGUAGGGACUGUGGAAACAGCUCCAUAAAAUGAUGUCAUGCCAAGUUUUUGGAAAAUGCCGGCUUUAAUGCUAGAGAAAAGUUCAAGGGCAGCUUGAGGAAGGGAAAACGAACUACUCUCUCCUUGAUGCUUUUCACAUUUAUCUCUAUCACUGUUACAAUCUGACAAUCCCUGAUCAUCAAAGUGAGAUUCAGCUUAUGAUUAGACAAUCCUAAUGUUAAUCUCGACAACUAAUCUCAUUGAAAAAUGUUAUUUUUAGAUGUUAUUUUUGACAAGUUUAAAAGUUAUAUUAUUUC
rnacentral:lncRNA from 1 species